UNUGACUUGAGUGCAGAAGGGGAGAGUGGAAUUCCAUGUGUAGCGGUGAAAUGCGUAGAUAUAUGGAGGAACACCNGUGGCGAAAGCGGCUCUCUGGUCUGUCACUGACGCUGAGGCUCGAAAGCGUGGGUAGCGAACAGGAUUAGAUACCCUGGUAGUCCACGCCGUAAACGAUGAGUGCUAGGUGUUAGGCCCNUUCCGGGGCUUAGUGCCGGAGCUAACGCAAUAAGCACUCCGCCUGGGGAGUACGACCGCAAGGUUGAAACUCAAAGGAAUUGACGGGGGCCCGCACAAGCGGUGGAGCAUGUGGUUUAAUUCGAAGCAACGCGAAGAACCUUACCAGGUCUUGACAUCCCGAUGCUAUUCUUAGAGAUAGGAAGUUACUUCGGUACAUCGGAGACAGGUGGUGCAUGGUUGUCGUCAGCUCGUGUCGUGAGAUGUUGGGUUAAGUCCCGCAACGAGCGCAACCCUUAUUGUUAGUUGCCAUCAUUAAGUUGGGCACUCUAGCGAGACUGCCGGUAAUAAACCGGAGGAAGGUGGGGAUGACGUCAAAUCAUCAUGCCCCUUAUGACCUGGGCUACACACGUGCUACAAUGGUCGGUACAACGAGUUGCGAGCCGGUGACGGCAAGCUAAUCUCUGAAAGCCGAUCUCAGUUCGGAUUGGAGGCUGCAACUCGCCUCCAUGAAGUCGGAAUCGCUAGUAAUCGCGGAUCAGCACGCCGCGGUGAAUACGUUCCCGGGCCUUGUACACACCGCCCGUCACACCACGAGAGUUUGUAACACCCGAAGUCGGUGAGGUAACCUUUUAGGGGCCA
rnacentral:rRNA from 1 species